CCCACAUUUCUUUUUCGCUCUUUACCGUCCGUCACCAUCAAGGAGAACAAAACGCCGGUCCAGAAGCAAUUCAUGGAUUCAGGAUGCUUGAACGGGACCCGGGGCGGCGGCGAGGGCGGCGUAAAGAGCCAGCUGAGAAGUUUCGGCGAGUGACGCAGCAGCGGCGGAAUGAAGGAGGCAGGAAGAACGGGGAAGUGAUGAAAACUUCGCUUCGCGGUCUCAUCAGCUUUCGGGGUAGACGGACGCUGGAAACGUCCUUGCUUGCAGAAGCGGCUAGUCCUCAGCGUCGUGUUUCCCAACCUUGGCAGCUUCUAAGAGCAGGAAUAACUCAAGGUGGCAAACAUAACUGAUGUUCAUUCUUCCUCAUAUUUGCCCCACAACAACAACAACCACCCUGUGAGAUGGGCUGGGCUGAGAGACCGAGGAACUGGCCCAAAUGGAUGGAAAUGGAGCAAGGAGAGAUUCAACCUGGAAAUGAGGAGAAAUUUUGCGACAGUGAGAACCAUCAACCAAAGGAACAGAAGUUGCCUUCAAAAGUUGUGGGAGCUUCAUAGAAUAGAAUAGAAUAGAAUAGAAUAGAAUAGAAUAGAAUUUUAUUGGCCAAGUGUGAUUGGACACACAAGGAAUUUGUCUUGGUGCAUAUGCUCUCAGUGUACAUAAAAGAAAAGAUACGUUCAUCCCUGGAAGCUUUCAAGAAGAGACUGGACUGCCAUCUAUCAGAAAUGGUGCAGGGUCUCCUGCUUGCGGGGUGGGGGGGAGGGUUGGACUAGAUGACCUACAAGGUCCCUUCCAACUCUGUUAAUCUGUAUAAUCUGUAUAAAGUCACCCACCCAGUAGGGGAUGACUAACAGGGGAUUAAACCUCACAGUCUCCUGGUUCCUAGCCUACUGCCUUAACCACAAGACAGAGGAGUUCUCCAAACUUGGCAACUUUUAAGACUUGUGGACUUCAAACUCCUGGCUGGGGAAUUGAGUUUGGGUUAUUGCAGAAGAUGAGGUCAAGGCAAUUAUUGAGUCUUGUAUUGUUAGUUACAAGUUGUUCAAGACCUAGGUUUGUAACAGCGUUGUAUAGUGUAGUAUGGAUUGGAUUAGUUGUACAUUCAUUAGUUAUCCAGUUAAUGAGAGGUAGAUCUAGGUUGCCCAGGAAGAUGAGAGGAUAUGGGCAAGAGGUAGCCCAUGUUAGCAAUGAGGUUAACAUAUUUGCAUGAGUAAUGUCGUAGUCAGGGGCUCUGUAGCAUAGUAAGAAUCAAAGAGUGGUGUUAAGGGAUAGGUCGCAUACAGUAGUUUCAGGAAGAGAGAGUUUAUGUGCAACUUUGAAUGUUUUUUAGAUUCAGUGACUUUUUGUAAAAGAUGGCCACUCCACCACCUCUUCGGUUAUCACGAUCUGAUCGAUAAACCUGAUAUUCUUUGUUUGUAACAAUGGAGUCAGGAAGGGAUGAGUUCAGCCAUGUUUCACAAAUAAAUAUGAUAUCAAAUGUACCACUGUUUAACAAGAGGAUAAAUUCAGGUAAUUUGUUAACAAUGCUUCUUGCAUUUAUCAAUUUGCAUUUGAGAUCUGUAAUGUUGAAGAGGUAAGGGAGAAUUGUGGGAGUUGAAGUCCACAAGUCUUAAAAGUUGCUAAGUUUGGAGAGCCUUGCAUUAGAGACCAAACUGGCUCUCAUAACAGCACGAUGCAAGUUUCACUCCUUAAAUAUUUGCGUCAGGUAUCAUGAAUGGAGGACUCAAAGGAGCUGAUUUUGUGGUCUAAAGCAGAGGCCUCCAACCUUGGCAACUUUAAGCCUGGAGGACUUCCAACUCCUAGAAUUGCAGCAAAGCUGGCUGGGGAAUUCUGGGAAUUGAAGUCCGCCAGGCUUAAAAUUACCAAGGUUGGAGACCCCUGAUCUAAAGCAGGGGUCUCCAACCUUGACAACUUCACGACUUGUGGACUUCAACUCCCACAAUUCCCCAGCUAGGAGUCUUAAAAAUUAAAAAUUACAAGUUUGAAAACUCCUGGUCUAGUGGUUUGGAAGCUCCGGAGCAAAACUCAUUCGGGAGAUCACAAUUGCCUUUUUAAAAAAGGAUAUUGAAGGACAUCUUAAAGGAAAGAUUAGCCUUGGGCCCUGGGCAGGGUUUUCUGUGGCCCUCGAUAUUGCUUUGUACACUUCAAAGAGAUGGUGGAAGUGUUGGUUGUCAAAGUUCACACUUGUGGUCUUGUCUAAGCCUGCGCUCACAUGACGCAUUGAACUACAAGCUCAUCAAAUGCUCUUUUGCAGAGCGUGCAAAACUCAGCUGACCAGCCCAAGUUGCUAAUUUUAUGGUAGAGCGGUAAGUUGAGGGGCCACAAAUUUUGUGUGUGUGGUAAUUUUUGUGCAUUAGAAAGUUGGCUCUACUCCUCGGGUGGCAAAAUACCUCCCUAGGGUUCUGGAGGUGCUGGGUGGGGAAUUCUGGGAGUUGAAGUUCCCCUAUCCUGAAACCUGCAUACUCUUGGGGUUUGUAUAGCUGGGAAAAGAAUCCGGAAGUUCAGUUUUGGAAUUUCACUCAUCGUGUGCCAGUUUCCUCAUGCUAGUAAAGAACUCUGAAAGACAGAGUUCUGGCUUCUGAGUUUUUUUUAUGCAGAAGAGGUUUUUCUGGAACCUUGACAUUAUUCCAAAACCGAACUUCCGGAUUCUUUUCCCAGUUAUACAAAGCCCAAGAGUCCCACCCCCCUAAUCCCUUUGCUGGUCACAUGGUCCCACGUUCUCCCAGUUCAUUCGAAUAUCUUCUCGCCACUCCUCCUGCAGAUGUGAACACCAUCCGACCUUGACCGCUUGAAGAAUGUUACCAUACCCCUCAACCCCCCUUCUUCCCCUCAGGGGAAAAAUGUGGCAGCGUCUGGAACCCUAAAGUCUAGUAUGGUUUCCAGGCCUGACACAUACAACAACCUAGGUGGGGAAUUCUGGGAGUUGAAGUUCACCUAUCCUGAGAAACACUGCCUUAGUAUGCUAAAAAUGGCAUAGAACAACCAUGGUCAGCAGCCCCAUGGUUCCAUAGAGCAUGUGCAAAACGCAGGAUCUCCCUCCUUACCUGAGAUGCAAAGAUCUUACCUGCCCUGCAUGGUUUUUCCUUUAAUGCUAAGCAGUUUCCUUUUUUAAAAAUUUUGUUUUUUAUUUUAUUUUAUAUUAUUUUAAUUUGGUUGGUUUCGUGUUUUUUUUAAAUUUCAUUUCGUGCUGUUGUACCCUACCCAGAGCUACGUUGUUUGAGUUCUAAAUAAAUAAAUGUUUUAAACUAAUAACAGCAUCCUUCUGGCCCACCGUCUUCUUGAGAAAAGGUGAGCUGUCCCAGAUUCUAAAUCAGGCAUGGCAAAAGAGCCGCUGACUCAGCCUCUUGACAUGCCAGGAAUUUAUACUUGAAGGCAGAUGUUUGCAGGAAAGAGGAAAGCUCAUUUUCCCCCCCCUUUCUUUUCUAUUUUAUCACAUGUUUUGCAUUUUAAUUAGCUUUUUGCUUUCUUUCUUUUUCGUUUUUCUCCCAUACUUUUUAUUAGCUUGUAUUCGUUUUUACCUUUCUUUUAAAACAUUUUAAUAAAA